UCAACAACUUUCAACUAAAAGUUAUGAAAUCUGAUUGGACUUUCUUCACUCAAGAAAAUAACAAUUUAGAAAUUAUCAGAAAAUAUUUCAACUAUGGGUGCACCUAUGUCAAUGGAACACUACCGAUGGCUACGACAUACGCUCAGUUUGAAGAAUAUUACUAUCUGAUGAAUGGAACCGAUUUCAACCUGCUGUGGGACGAGGCAAUUGUCACUGGCGGUGGCGAGCUGCGCUGGUGCCGCGAACCCAACACGUCCAUUCCGGCAUCAUUGCAAUCCGGCCUGGAACUUGUCGGACAAUUACCGUUCUUUUUGGUUUCUUUAGCUGGCCCAAAGCCCAACUUUCACGCUGUGCCUCUGGACUCGAAUAUGGGCAUUUAUUUGUAUUGCGUACUCGACACUGAGUUUGUAAAGAUGUGUCAAGGGAUAAGUUUCUUGGCAAAAUAGUGGACUACCUGUGUUAAGAAACGUAGUUGGAGCAAAAAAAUGGUUUUGAGACAAUUAGAUUUAAAUGGUUUAAGUUGGUUUAAAACAUAUGUUGUUUGCAGCACAAAUUAAGUAAUUAAUUCCAGCUUUUGAUUUGCGUUUUUUGCCUUUCUCGAUUUUUGCUUUUACUUUGCUUGAUGUUAUAGUAUAGAUAAUUUAAAAAAAACUUAUUGUGAGUGGCUCCACUCUUUUUUCUUAAAUUUAAAUAUUAAACCUGUGUGUGUAUU